UAGCUCAGUGGUAGAGUGCAUGCCUAGAAUGCACAAAGUCCUGGGUUCAAUCCCCAG
rnacentral:tRNA from 1 species